GUGAAAUAAAUUUAUCUUGUAAAAAUACUAUAUUUCCAACAUUUUAUUUAUUAUUACCAAGAUUUUAAAGAUUAAAAUAAUAAGUCCAGCAGUAUUGCUUUUCUUGCUUAUCUAAACAAAUGCCACUAUGCUUGAGUGUUAAAUAUAACUGUGUUCUAGGUUAACUUCUCAGCCUGGCACUGCAUUACCGAACGGACAUAGCAGCUUAUCCCUCCGAAGCCAUCCCCUUCGAGGGGAAAAGAAAGGGGAUGGAGACCUUUCUUGCAUUAAUGGUGACAUGGGAGUUAGGAAAAGCUGCCGUUCCAGGAAGAACAGAUUUGAGAGUGUGAACCAGAGUUUGCUAUUUGAUCAACUAGUGAAUAGAGCCCUGUCUGAACCCUGGUGUGAUUGUGACUGCAGUACUGCUGAAGCUGUACUUCAAGAAAUGGACAAUAUUAACAUCCGACGGAAUCGGCGAUCAGGAGAAGUGGAACGACUUAGAAUGUGGACAGAUACAGAAUUUGUGAGUACAUCAACUGUGGCAGUUUUUGCAAGUAUUUUUUUAAUACUUGUAAGGAAUGAAUUCAAAGGAGACCAUGCAGCAGUUGUUUUUUUUUUUUUAAUUAACAACUGUUCUUUCCUUUUCAUUUACAGCCUGGUUUGGGAUUUUAUUACUUCUUUUUUUUUUUUGAGUCUUGCUAUAUAGUUCAGGCUGGCCUUGAACUCACGGUGAUCCUCCUGGCUCAACCUCCCAAGUGCUGGAAUUAUAGGUGUGUGCCACCAGGCUUGGCUACUUGCUUUUUUUUUUUUUUUUUUAAAUCUGUUUCCCCUGUGCUGCACCCUUCCCAAAAAGAGCCUCUACCCUUGCCAGAUGGAUCAUUUUACAAUGCAGCUCUGACU
rnacentral:lncRNA from 1 species